rnacentral:lncRNA from 1 species
CGAGGUCCAAUCCGCUAAUGAUUCUUCGAGUAUUGAUGAGACCCUGUCCACCAAUGCAAGUAUAAUUAAAGACGAGGUCGUCCCAUCAGGCAAAAUCAAUCUCGCCAUAGAAGAGUUAAAUUGAAAUCUUCUUCACGAAAAAAUGAUGUAUACGGUGAGCACAUGAUCAACAUCAGUAAGGAAGUGUCAUGAUGAAAAAUCGAUAUAGCUGCAAAAAGAAAAUGUUUGUAAAAGGAAAAACUCGUUAUAGUUAUUGCACUAAUACCGUUCGUUACAUGAUGCAGCAUUGUAUGACAUAUAUGUUUACGAAUUAAUAUUAAAUUGUUCGCAAACAAAUAUGUGAAAUAUAGUUGACAAUUACGAUAAACGGAUGAACUCACGAAACAAUGACAACAAAAUAUUCAUUAAAUAACACUAACUUUAAAAGAUGGAAUUUUAGCGUUGAUGGAAACGGAAGAAAUAGUUGAAGCUCCAAAGGCUAACAGAGGAACUCCAGAAGGUCUAGGUAACACUGAUGUUCUCUUCAAGAACCUCUAAAAGUCCAUAAUCCAUUUAGGAUGACAAAUCCAAAUAAUGUCAAGGACUCUAUUUCCUCCUUCCUGCAUGGACUACUCAAAAAGUUUCGCCUCGUAAUUCUUUCUGUAACCGACAACGGACUCUACAACAAAAAAUCCAGCCUUUCUACUUUCUAGCUCAUUACACAGCAUGACCAACUCAUCCC